GUGGCCGUGACCCUGCUGGAGUGCGGGGGGCACCUCCAGCCCCCCGGGGGUUCCCUGCGCCUCCUCUGCCGAGGCUCCGGGUUCAGUUUUGGGAGUUACCCCAUGUACUGGGUGCGCCAGAGACCGGGCCAGGGGCUGGAAUGGUUCACGCGCAUCUACAGCAAUGGUGGCUACACCUAUGACGCGCCAUCGGUCAAAGGCCAGGUCACAAUCUCCAGGGACAACGGGCAGAGCUCGGUGACGCUGACCAAGAACAACCUCAAGGACGAGGAUUCCAGAUCCUAUUUCUGUGCCAAGGGUGCUGAUGCUUAUACCUGGAAUGCUGCUGCUUAUGGUGAAGACCCCAGUGGUGGAUCCACUCACCCAUCUCAGUGUCCCCACCUCUCCCCAAACCCCCAACAAUUCACCUAA